GAGCGGCGAACGGGUGAGUAACACGUGAGUAACCUGCCCUCAACUUCGGGAUAAGCCUGGGAAACCGGGUCUAAUACCGGGUAGGACCUGGUGCGGCAUCGCGCUGGGUGGAAAGUUUUUUCGGUUGGGGAUGGGCUCGCGGCCUAUCAGCUUGUUGGUGGGGUAGUGGCCUACCAAGGCGACGACGGGUAGCCGGCCUGAGAGGGCGACCGGCCACACUGGGACUGAGACACGGCCCAGACUCCUACGGGAGGCAGCAGUGGGGAAUAUUGCGCAAUGGGCGGAAGCCUGACGCAGCGACGCCGCGUGGGGGAUGACGGCCUUCGGGUUGUAAACCUCUUUCAGCAGGGACGAACUUAGACGUGUACCUGUAGAAGAAGCGCCGGCUAACUACGUGCCAGCAGCCGCGGUAAUACGUAGGGCGCGAGCGUUGUCCGGAAUUAUUGGGCGUAAAGAGCUCGUAGGUGGCUUGUCGCGUCUGCCGUGAAAGCCCAUGGCUUAACUGUGGGUCUGCGGUGGAUACGGGCUGGCUAGAGGUAGGUAGGGGCAAGCGGAAUUCCU
rnacentral:rRNA from 1 species